CCUACGGACUGUCGUACUAACGAAAGUAGCUCGAAUUUUAGUGAACUCAGGCAGGUUGAACUAGGAA
rnacentral:ncRNA from 1 species